AGAGAAGGAAGACACAUCACGGAAGAUACGUCAUCUGGUAGCAAGCGGUCUUUCUUCACUUUCGCUUGCUGCUGGGAGAGAAGUGGGUGUGCUUUCCAAGCCGGGCGCCUUCAUCAAAGAACACGAGUCAACACAAAUCUCUGGAGUACCAGCACCUGCCUGCACACAAGUUCUUAGAAGAAGGGGAAUCUUAUUUAAUGCUGGCUGUGGAAGUAGCAUUGAUAGGGCUGGGGCAGCAACGAAUAAUGCCAGAUGGCUUGUAUGCACAAGAGAAGGUUUGUCGAAAUGAGGAGCAGCUUAUUUCUACGGUUAGAUAUUAGCAGGAAGUUUUUCACACAGAGGGCGGUGACACACUGCAACAGGUUGCCCACGGUGGUUGUGGAUGCUCCAUCCUGGAGGCAUUCAAGGCCAGACUGGAUGUGGCUCUGGGCAACCUCGUCUAGUGGUUGGCGACCCUGCACAUAGCAAGGGGGUUGAAACUCAAUGAUCAUUGUGGUCUUUUUCAACCCAAACCGUUCUAUGAUACGAUUCUAUGGUAUAUUUUUCAUCUCUAAGGGAACCUUAAUCAUGUCCCUAUGGCAAAUCAGGACCCCCCCUCUUUUUGUACUUGAUACAGUUAUGAAGCCUCACAUUAUCAGGCCAAAGUGUAUGGUGCAGACAGUCAGUACAUGCCCCAGUGCAAGCCUAAGUGUUGACCUAGGACAGGAACAUGGCUUGUAUCUUGCCGUGGAUGGCAGACCUACCCCUUCUGGUACCUCUGAAACAUCUAUACUACUCCGCCAUGAGUCUCUUUGAGUCCACAGGAUCACUCAGAAGAGCAAUGCGAUAUCAAGAUGCUCCCGUGUCUCUGUAAGAUCAGCGUGAUACCUGGUGGUAAACUUUAUGGGACACAAGCCAAACCUUCCCUGGUCCGAGCAAGUAUUUGCCUCCAGGAGAACCAUUGCGUACUGCCCCACAAAGGAACAUCAAUCUCAAGAAUGAACCAAUCAUCAAUCAUCUUGUUUUUUGUCAAUCUACACUGUGACGGGCAAAUUGUACUAAGCAUCAUGGUAUACUGAGACACCAUAAUGGAAAGGGCUUACCUUCAACAUGCUCUACUACUGGUUCAUGAUGUGAAGGAGUGUAGUGGAAAUGCUUCAAACAGUGAUGGAGCACCUGGUGGGAAGACAAUGCCAACCCAGAGGAGCUCAGGUGCAUGCAGUGCACCUGAGUGACUGGAAGGGGGGAAGCCGGGAUCCACCCCUUCCCAGACCUCAUUUAUGGGUUGGCAGUAGAGAUAAGGGUAUCUUUUUGUAGAUCCUUACUUUCCCAAGGCCUUCAAACAGUAAGCAGUUUUUCAUUUUUGUUUUUGCAUCCAUGGCUACUGUUUUGGGGCUUGUUCUCAUUUGCAGCAGCCUAGGAUUGUGCCACUCCCUUAUUACUGCUAUACUUCCCAUCAUAUAGUAGCAUUAUAGACUUAUGAAAUCUGAUUGUCCUGUGCUACUAAUCAAUGCUUCUGUUUCUACCAGCUUUCAUAUGCAAGUGAUUUUCUAUGAGGAAGUCAUCUGGGAGGACAAAGGAAACUGAAUCUCUUUUGUCAAAUACUGAAUAAUAGAAAUUCAAUUAAUUGUG